AUUGAACGCUGGCGGCAUGCCUUACACAUGCAAGUCGAACGCAGUCUUCGGACUGAGUGGCGCACGGGUGAGUAACACGUAACUGACCUACCCCCAAGUCGCGGAUAACUGGCCGAAAGGUCAGCUAAUACGUGAUGUGAUGUCCCCUUUCUGGGGGGCCAUUAAUGGUUUACUGCUUGGGGAUGGGGUUGCGUUCCAUCAGCUAGUUGGCGGGGUAAAGGCCCACCAAGGCAACGACGGAUAGCCGGCCUGAGAGGGUGGCCGGCCACAGGGGCACUGAGACACGGGUCCCACUCCUACGGGAGGCAGCAGUUAGGAAUCUUCCACAAUGGGCGAAAGCCUGAUGGAGCGACGCUGCGUGAGGGAUGAAGGUUCGCGGAUCGUAAACCUCUGAAUCAGGGACGAAAGACGCGUAAGCGGGAUGACGGUACCUGAGUAAUAGCACCGGCUAACUCCGUGCCAGCAGCCGCCGUAA
rnacentral:rRNA from 1 species